rnacentral:rRNA from 1 species
GACGAACGCUGGCGGCGUGCUUAACACAUGCAAGUCGAACGGAAAGGCCCUGCUGUUGUGGGGUGCUCGAGUGGCGAACGGGUGAGUAACACGCGAGUAACCUGCCCUUGACUUUGGGAUAACUUCAGGAAACUGGGGCUAAUAACGGAUAGGAGCUCCUGCUGCAUGGUGGGGGUUGGAAAGUUUCGGCGGUUGGGGAUGGACUCGCGGCUUAUCAGCUUGUUGGUGGGGUAGUGGCUUACCAAGGCUUUGACGGGUAGCCGGCCUGAGAGGGUGACCGGCCACAAUGGGACUGAGAUACGGACCAGAAUCGUACGGGAGGCAGCAGUGGGGAAUAUUGCAGAGUGGGCGGAAGUCUGAUGCAGCAACGCCGCGUGCGGGAUGACGGCCUUCGGGUUGUAAACCGCUUUCGCCUGUGACGAAGAGUGAGUGACGGUAAUGAGUAAAGAAGCACCGGCUAACUACGUG